rnacentral:lncRNA from 1 species
UCCUCUAGACGUGCCUCCUUAAUCCGGCGAUCUACAGACUCUCGGAGAGAGUGGUCACGAGCAUCCACCUCUAUGAAGAGGCCCAUCACCUAGCACAAAGAGAAAACCAUUAGGACAAGGAAACAAAGAGAACCAAAAUAAAAGCAAGAAUCAGAAGGGACAACUUACCAUGAGAAGCAUCUCCCUGAUUGUAUCUCUGAGCUCCCCCCGAGUCCGAGACCGGAAUGCUACUUGUUCUCGAGUAGAGCUGGCCAAAAGGCCAGUGAGAGCAAGCAGGCGAGGAUCUGAGGCCUCGGUCACCCUACCAAACAUCCGCUCCAGGAGAGUUUCCACGACCACGCUCGCCGGGGACUGAUGGGUGAUGUCCUCUGCGUUCAAGAUGUCGUUAUCAGGGGCAGAGAGCUGGGGCACCAACAGAGUCUUUUCCUUUUCGAGCAGAGGCAAAGCGGGGGGCCGGACGCCUGGAGGUCCGAGACUUCUUAGGAGCUGGGACAGAGGCGUCAGAGGGGAGAGGACGCUUGCCCUCGAUCUUUUUCAG